rnacentral:rRNA from 1 species
UCUAGCGGCGGACGGGUUAGUAACGCGUGGGAACGUGCCCUUCACUACGGAAUAGUCCCGGGAAACUGGGUUUAAUACCGUAUACGCCCUUUCGGGGGGAAAGAAUUUCGGUGAAGGAUCGGCCCGCGUCUGAUUAGAUAGUUGGUGGGGUAAUGGCCUACCAAGUCUACGAUCAGUAGCUGGUUUUAGAGGAUGAUCAGCAACACUGGGACUGAGACACGGCCCAGACUCCUACGGGAGGCAGCAGUGGGGAAUCUUGGACAAUGGGCGCAAGCCUGAUCCAGCCAUGCCGCGUGUGUGAUGAAGGCCUUAGGGUCGUAAAGCACUUUCGCCUGUGAUGAUAAUGACAGUAGCAGGUAAAGAAACCCCGGCUAACUCCGUGCCAGCAGCCGCGGUAAUACGGAGGGGGUUAGCGUUGUUCGGAAUUACUGGGCGUAAAGCGCGCGUAGGCGGACAUUUAAGUCAGAGGUGAAAUCCCGGGGCUCAACCCCGGAACGGCCUUUGAUACUGGGUGUCUUGAGUUCGAGAGAGGUGAGUGGAAUUCCGAGUGUAGAGGUGAAAUUCGUAGAUAUUCGGAGGAACACCAGUGGCGAAGGCGGCUCACUGGCUCGAUACUGACGCUGAGGUGCGAAAGUGUGGGGAGCAAACAGGAUUAGAUACCCUGGUAGUCCACACCGUAAACGAUGAAUGCCAGUCGUCG